rnacentral:rRNA from 1 species
AACGAACGCUGGCGGCAUGCCUAACACAUGCAAGUCGAACGAGACCUUCGGGUCUAGUGGCGCACGGGUGCGUAACGCGUGGGAACCUGCCCUUAGGUUCGGAAUACCUCCCCGAAAGGGGUGCUAAUACCGGUUAAUGUCUUCGGACCAAAGAUUUAUCGCCUUUGGAUGGGCCCGCGUUGGAUUAGCUAGUUGGUAGGGUAAAAGCCUACCAAGGCGACGAUCCAUAGCUGGUCUGAGAGGAUGAUCAGCCACACUGGGACUGAGACACGGCCCAGACUCCUACGGGAGGCAGCAGUGGGGAAUAUUGGACAAUGGGCGAAAGCCUGAUCCAGCAAUGCCGCGUGAGUGAUGAAGGCCUUAGGGUUGUAAAGCUCUUUUACCCGGGAUGAUAAUGACAGUACCGGGAGAAUAAGCUCCGGCUAACUCCGUG